UGGAGAUUAGAGAUAGGGCUCUCUGGGCACCUCUGCUCCACCUAGCCCAGUACCAACGGGCAGAGUGUCCCAGGAAAUCCUGUCUGCCCCCUACUAGGGCCCCACCAGCUGGAGGGGGGACACAUGGGGUCCGAAUCCCCCCUCCUUACACCCCCGGUCUGCUGAGCUCAGCCACGGCUGGAAGAAAGAACUCACUUACUCUGUGAUACUCUCACCAGCUCCGUCACAUUCCAGACCCCGGAAGUCACAAAACAGUCCUGGAAACUUAAGUGCCCUGAAGAGUGGAAGGACAAGCGAGUGAGUCAGGCCAGGCUCGGAGGGGCCACCUGCCUGUCUCCCCAAAGCUCUCCCCACUCUCGCUUCGACUCGCUUCCUCCCAAGCCUCGUGUUCCAGACACAGGCUGGCCCUCAGGGCCCUCACGUCUACACGGAGGACCGAGCAGGCUUCAGGGGAGCCCCCACCCCCUUGGCCAUCAGCUGAAGUUCAGCUGAGGAACAGCUGAGUCGAGGGGAAGAAAUGGGGGCAGACAGGAGGCCAGGUUGGCCAGGGUGUUGGAGGGCAGAGGAGGGCGAGGGGGGCAGGGCAGGCCCAAGAGGCCAGGCGUGGGCCGGCGGGAGUUGUGGAGGGGCACUGACCGUUGGGCAGUGGUUUGAUGUCCGCAUCUCCUUGCUGGUUUGAACUAUCUGAUUGUCCGGAUUCUGCGGGAGACACAAAGGGGAGAAGAGGUCAGGAUCGAAGCGCCCCACCAACGCCAGCCAAGGAGCUGUGCCUUCAGCCCUGCCAACACCUUCACAGCACCCUCUCCUCGGAGGGGAGCAGCCUGGGGGGACCUGGAGAGAGGAGGAAGAAAGUGCUACUGACAGUGAAGCCAGACCAUUCUCCGCGGCGGGGCAUCCUGGGCACCGCAGGGUGUGUCUGGCAGGAGCCCUGGCCUCCACGUUCUAGAUUCUAGUAGCACCCCCGUGUGCCAACCAGAACUGCCCCGUGCGCCCCGGGGGGCGAAGUCGCCCUCAAGUGGGCAGCAGUGGCUGAGAACCAGGGCAAGGAGGGUGCCCGUGAAAGAAGCCAGUGACCGCCUCUCUGCACAGCUGGGACGAACCCCAGGGUCCCCCCAUCCUCCGCUCAGCCCAAGCCCCCAGAGGAGCAGCCCCGUCCUUCUCUCUUCAUUAAUUACAGCCGUUCCUGUCAGCCUGAACCACCCCCACCUCACCUUUAUGCUUACAGGCGGUGCCUGGCAACACAGAGGGGGGAGGCCUGCCCUAACGCUGUCGCCCGCUCUGUGCCAGCCUGUCUGGGCUGUCUCAUGCCCCGGUGCCACAGCUGCUCAGAGGGAGCCCCGAGACAAGGGCCCAUUGUGCGGUGGGAGCUCACAGAGGGCUGGGGCAGGGUGGAGAGUGUGUGUGAAUAUUUUGCUGAGCUUGGGAAAGCCCCCCCCACCCCCGCCCCCCCCCCCCAGGUCCUCAAAGCUUUGUGUGCCAGGGGCACAAUGGGGACCUCCAGAAUGCCUGCCCAGGCACGACAGCUGGCGAGAGGGUGGCAGAGGGGGGCCAGGGCAGGUUGUGGGGCAGGAGGAAGGCAGGCAUUUGGUGAAGAAAGGGCCGCUCACAGGAAGACGACGUGGGGGUGGCAUCAGAAAACCGUGCCCUGGUAUUGGCCGGGGCUUUGCCCAACUCUGGCCCUGCCUCCUGGGUCUCAUCCACCGCCCCGAGGUCAGCCUGCUGGCCGGAGAGUCCACCCCUCGCUGGCCUCACAGCCAAGCUGUUCACACUGGGGACUGACCAGCCAAGGAAGUUCCCAAAGGGCAAGGUGUGGGCCCGAGAGAUUGCGGCAGGGGGCCCUGCGGCCACUCGGGAGGGACAGAGAGUGAUGGCCACAGGGGCUGGUGAGAACAGCAUCCCUAUGGGAGCGAAGGCCCAGCCUCGGCUCAGGCCGAGUUCUCGGCCACCUGCCUCAAGGUGACCAGUGGGAAAGGACGGGCUGCCUCCAGGACAGGUUUAGGCCCCACUCCCCCCGGAUUCUUUACCUGUUCAAUUUUUUUUUUUUUUUCUCUAAUUCCAAAAAAGAACAGCAAACCUUGUCACAAAUCAAACGCCCAGAGAGGCUCACAAGGGAAGUGCUCAUGGCGGUCCUUCGCCACCCCCCCCCUCCAGUUUGGGGUGCAGCCUUCCACCGUUCCAUUUGUGCUCACCCCUGUGGUGUGCGGAGGGGUGGCGAAUCCUAUCCCAGGCGGCCGCCUCUUUGCCCGUGGUGCGCUCCGCGCUGGAGAGAAUCCACAGGACCUCCCCCCACGCUCCCAGGAGGGCAACCUCUCUGGGCCACGGCGCCUCGUGGGUAUGAAUUCCGUCCUUCUCUCACCUUGGCCUCUUCCCGGCUAUCUAGGUCUGAUUCCACGCCCGGCUUGUCCAGGAAGGAGCAGCUGAGGGGCUAAAGCCGUGGACACCCCACGCCAGGCCCUCCCUGGACCCUGAGCCUGCUCCCUCUCUCCUCCACUCAACGGCUCAGGAAGGGCACGGCCGGGGGACCAGCACGUGGAGCCCACUGAGGGGCACCCACUCCAGGCUCUGCCGCCCUGGGGUGGCCCGCUACCGACCCCACCCAUCCUGGGACCCACUCGUUCCCCACCGGCCUUCCGGGGCCGGGUCGGCGGAGCUGGGGGAGACGGAGGAGUCCCCCCACGGGCGCGGUCCCGGGCCCCCUGAAAAUGGCCACGUGGAGACAGAACGCUGCGCGCAUGCGCACACCCAGCCCGAGGACAGAAAAGGCUAGAGAGAACCCGACAAAGGGAUGGAGAUGGGCCAGCGACUACGGCAGAGACAAAUGGGGCUCCGGGAGAGCGCGAGAGGCAGGAAAUCCUUCUAAACCAGGACACUGCCCCGAGACGUUAUUGCUGUUAUUACUAUUAGCUUGAUGUAAAGGAGCAGGCGGGAGCGGGCAGCCGGCGCGGGCGAGGCCCGCUGCCACGCGCCUCCAGGCGCUGCUGGCAGCCAUCUUAGCCCUUGGCAGCCAUCUUACGGCUGGCGGCCCCGCCGGCGUCCCCACAAUGCCACCCCCGCCGGCCCCCGGCAGGCUCAGCCCGGCUCCGGGACAAAAGGCAGAAACACGGGAAAUCUGGACCCGGGCUCGGAAGGCUCAGGGGGCAGCCCUGCAGCAGGGGCAGCUUCAGCCAGGGCGCCACCGUCCUGCUCCAGCGGCACCCCCUUCACCCUCGGGGGGCCAGCACCCAGCAGCAGGAGAAGGGAGGGCUGAGGCAGGGGCCCUGGGGACGCCACGUGCUACUCAAAGGCAGCCGAAGCCCCCUCCACGGGCCAUCCCCGGGCCCAGGGGCUCAACUAGGACCCCUGCCCUGGCAGGACCGGGAGGGACACGGGGGGAGGGGGAGGGGGGCAGGCUUAGGGGUGCGCCUUGGACGGACGGGGGCAGGGGACUGGCAGGAACCCAUACAGCAGCCGUGGGGCCCAAACCGGCCACCGGGCCCUGGUGGACAGGCUUCUAGGGAGGGUAAGGAGAAACCCCCACCCCCUCCCGCCCCAGGAGCGGGAGCCAGCUGGGCCGGCCUCCGUGGGCGCUUUGGGGAGCCGCGCCUGGAGGUCGGGGCUUGCUCUAGACGACCCUCUGGGAUCACAAGGCCUCUGGGAUCCGCCUGGCCCACCGGGGAGCACGCCAACCCAGCAUGCUGACUCCCUUCCCUGUUGGGCUCCCUGGGGGAGGGGAUAACCCCAGGCCUCAGGACAGACGGGAGGAAGGUCCCUUUAUGACACCCCUCCCCACGCCCCGCCUCAUGGCUGCUCAGCUUUUAUCUGGCAGAAUGGGGCUUAUCAGAGCCACCAGCUGAACAAACAUACAAAUCCACGACGGGGAGAUAUUUACGGCUCCCGCUAGGUGAAGGACGAAUUCCUGCUCGCUGCAGGGAACGCUCUGCCUCAGCUCCCACCCGAAACAAACUCUCUCCGCGAAAGGGGCCACACGCAACUUGCUGGCCGGCUGCCUCCACGCACAUCACUGACAGAGUGAGCUCUUAGGUGGCCAAGAGGGGCGGAAAGACCCAGCUCAACCACACCCACAACGCGCGUAUACCGAGGCAAGCGCAGUCAAACGCGCACGCGCUUGGACACACAACAAGCGAUUUCCUGCUGCCCCGUAGGGGUAGGAGCAGACGAUGCACGCAGAGCCGUGGUCCCACCGGGCACGGCAUGUUCAGUGCUAAGCGCUGGGCCAGACAGGAGGCCACCUCUAGCUCGGCCGGACCUCUGACCUUCGGGGGGCUAGCGAGCACAACCCCCGGAGUUUGCAGUUUGCUUGCCCCUCCCCGGGCUUUCUCCAGGUCUGGGGUUCGGGAAGCAGGCGGGAGCGUGCGCUGUUCUGGGGGUCCUCUGAAGGGCCGAUGCAAUUCAGGAGCUGAUCCUGGCCCUCCCCAGUGUGACACUCCCCUCCCCCUCCCUGGCUCCCCCUCUUCUGUGAUUCCGGAGCAUCCAGGGCACUGGAAACCCAAUCUCAAGGGGAGCCAGAGGCCUGGCCUGUGGCAAUCAGAGCCGGAGAAUGUAACUAUUGUGCCUCUUGAAACCUAAGUCUGAGAAUCUGAGACACCCUGAGGAGGGGAGCCGUGGACGGAUGGGGGGCUAGGGAGACGGGUCACAGAGGGGUUCUCCCCAUCUCUGCAAACAGGAGACCCAGGGACCGAGGAAGUCCUUGAGAGUGCAGGGCAGCCAGAGGGCAAAGAGGGGAGGGGCUCGGCCUGGGCCCGGCCCAGGGGGCUUCUAGGAUCUUUCCUUCCUUCUUUCCACUCUGUGCUCCGCCCCCAGCUUCAAGCCUACACUCGGGCCCUGGAGCCAUCCUGAGGUUUAUCCCUCUUCUGUCACCCCUAGAGCCCCACGUGGUGGGGACAGGAGCAUGACCAGGAAGCACAGCCCCGAGGAUCUGGGCAGGGGUGUGGCCAGGGGCAGGAUAGGCACACACAUCACCCCCUCAUUACCUUCCUCUCUCCUUUCCUCACUCCCCCUCUACUCAUGGAUCUGAAGGGGCUUGAGCCUUUGACCUGAGUCACCUGUGCAGCGGGGGGAGGUGGCGUGCCGGUCACACCUGCGUAGGCUAGACCUGCUCUGGCUGCCCCUGAGGCCUGAGCUCAAGAAGGCCAUGAAGGGAGGAUGGGGCAGGGACAACAGAUCAGGCCGCAGGGAACAUCUGGAUGGGACACGGCAGUCGCAGGCCCUGGCCCUGGAGGCAAGCACGCCGUUCCCACCUCCACCCACCCUGCCUCCGCCAGUGCCGUCCGUGGUCCUCCCCUGGUGUGAGCUGCUCAGCGUUCUCUGCCCCGCACCCGACGGGAGAACCUUCCUUGGCAUUGCCCCCAGCCCAGGGAGAACUAGAGACGCGACCCGGUCACUGAAGCCCAAGGGAACUGGGUGCCCGACUGCUUAUUCCCAUGAGAGGACAGACAGUGGCCCAUGAAGGAGACAGGAGGAAGGAUACACCGUGGUGCAGAGCACAACACCCAGCAGGUGGAUGGAGGGGCAAAGGCCAGGUCCGUCCGCGAGUUGGGGGCCUCUCCACGCCCAGCCCGGCAGGCAGCCCUGGGGGAUGCGGGCGGACCCACGGGCUCCUCCCGGGUCCCCCCUUUGCAGGGGACUCAGCACCGACCUGCGAGACCUCAGACGUCAGUGCUCCGUGGCUCUCUCUGAACAAGCAGACCCAGUGCCUUGCAGUAACACCAUCUGGGGUGUUCCAGAGGUGCUACCCACCACCUAGGGUUCCCGGGCGAGGAAAACGAGAAAACAGGUAAAAGGUGCUUCGCCUCCAUGAGCUGAAACUGCUCCUCCUUCUCCCACUCCGCUCACAGGCUGCUUCGGGGGGGAGUGUGGCUGGCCCUCAGCUCCCUGCCCUCAGGCGUGCAUCCUCUUCAUGACACCCCUGAGUAUGCCCUGGAUUACUAUUUUCCGGUGUCUUGCCCCAGAGAACACAGCCAGUAAGCUGAGGGGCUCCCUCAGGGCCUGGCCCAUGACGAUCUGCAAAGAGGGGCAGAGAGGUGUGUCGGGAAAUGAAAGCGGGAUGCCUUCUACAGGCGUGUCCCUCCCCAAAGUCAGUGGUCGCGGUAAAUGGUCUCUGGACGGCCACCACACUGGAAAUCCCCUUACCCGGGGGAUGCGUCAGGGCAACAGGGAAGGGGGAGAAAAUGCUUGUGCCCCGGAUUCUGAGGACGCUGGGCCCUAGGCCUUGCCUAUCCUAGCCCAGCGGUAAGGGUAUAGAGAGCUGAGGACACCAGAAGCAUCGGUGCUGCCCCAACGGGUGCCCAGCUGCCUCUCCUGGGAGCGCCGGCUGGUGCCACGGCUCAACCAGCAGCUGGAGCCAACAUUUCCAAGAGGGCCUGGGGCCAGGAGUCAUGUAAUAGUGGGGUCCAGAAGAGUGGCCCCCAGCCCCUAAAGCUUCUGUCCCCUCCUCAGCCUGAUAGACAGAAACUGACAGUGGGCCCAGCACACCAAGAAAAGGUGGGCCCUGUGGAGGGUGUCCCCCCAUCCGGGCUAGGGGCACGCGGAGCUGCUCCCCCACCCCCACCCGCUCUAUUUCCAGCAUUGCCCUUUCUGGCCCUGUAAGCUGCCCAGGCCUGGCCAGACAACUGCCCCCACCUCCAGCUGCUCUUAGGACUAUUAAUAGUGUCCCCACCUCCCCGGGUCAGGCAUCACCCUCCCCCCAUCCCCCAAACACACUUGUCCUUGGUCUAAUUAUUUGUUAAGGCACAGAGUCCUCUGGGCGCUAAUGCCAACCAGGGAUGAGAAGUGACGGGGGGGGGGGGGCACAGAAGCUCUGGAGGGACACACCUGACCCAAGUGGGAGUUUGGGGAAAGGAGGGAAGCAAUCACUGAGCCCCCGAGCAAGAGAAUGACAAGAAGGCAACAUGAAAACUAAAAGAGAGAGAGAGAGAGGCCAAGACAGCACAUCAGAACCAAAGCAAAGUGGUUCAAAACAAGGCUGAAGUUGUUCAGGCUGAAGAGAAGGAGAAGGUUCCAAGAGGGAGGAAAGAGGGAAGAAAGCAGAGAGAGAAAGAGAAAGGAAAGGAGGAAAUGACUCCUUUAAAAAAAAAAAAAAAAAAAAAAACCACCACAAAAACAGAAGGGGAGAAAACUUUCCUGAAAAUACUCAGGAGUGGCUUCCUAAGCACAGCUGUGUGGCAGCCAGCCGUUGGCUGCAGAGGGCACUCAUCAGGGUGAGGGCCUGGAGAGCCCCCAGGCCAAGGAGCCUCUACCCACACGCCCUUGCAAUGUGCUGGGGAAGGGAGGGGAAGCAAAGAAUGAGAAGAAGGGGCAGAAAAGGAACAACUGACCGGGAAAAGAAGGUGGCAGAAGUGAGUCCCCACAGAGAGGAGAGGUACCCUCAGCCCUGGGCAGGGGAAGCCUCCCACAUGUGGAGCUUCCUUACCUAUGGAAAGACGGACAGACUGGCCAGGAGACGGCGAGGAUGGGGCAACACGAGGGCUCCCUGGCCACCUUGUGUUCCACGCUACCUCUCCCGUUGUGGCCAUGAGCACGGUCUUACCCCACCCGCCCCCCUUUCCUAAGGAGAAUCCAGGGGGCCUGGGAAGGAGAACCCACCUAAGCGACAGCAGGCCGAGGCCACCUGCCUCCUACCCUCAGGCACUCUAACUUCCUCAGCCCCCUAAGGGGCAGCACCUGACAUUCAGGCUAAAGGAGCCUCUUUAGCAAGGACUUGCCUUCUGCGGGGAGACAGACUUGGGCUCACGGAAGGGCAACAAACACAAACAUGUGCCACAAUCAAAGGUCUAAGUGGAGGACUGCUGCCUGGAGUCUGGAGGCCCAAGUAGCCCUUCCUUCAAAUCCCAUCCACACUGGGAACCUCUGGCUGGGCCAGGGCUGGAAGAGUGGAAAACUCUGGCUUUGGAGGGCUCAAGAGCCCUAAGGACUUGGCCACCAGGCCUCCCAGGUCCAGGGGUUCCUGCCUGGGAGCACCCCACCAGACCAUCAUCCCCUUGGGGUCAAGGCCUAUCAGUGUUUUGUUCACGACUAUAUCCACCACACCUGGACGUGCAGUUGGGAGCGGUUGACAAGACUCUAAAUAGAUCCUCCUAGAUCCUUCUAGAUCCUUCUUCCAACUGUGGCUACACUGACCCCCCCGGGGGACAGAAGCACCAGGUGUUUGGCACCUUCCGCGUCCCGAGAACAUUUUUUCCUGCAGGUCCGUCCUUGACGCUCAAUGCCCGAGGAAUUGAUGUGGAAACCCCAGUAGCACUAAUUCUCCUGCAAAGCCCAGGUGGGCCCGGAGUGCAGGCCUGGCCACACAGACCCCCGCGCCCGAGGGCUGCACUAACCAGAGGAAGGAUGCAGUGUCUCCCUGUGGAGGGCAGGGCAGGGAGCCGCUCUCGCCAGCUGGCUCUGCUCCCCACUCCCCAGCCCCCCGACGCCUUCAGGCAGCCACCGUCCAGAGCUGUCCAGAUAAAACGUGAAAAAUCUAGGCCUCUGACUCAAAAUCUCCAACUUUCAGCCCUGAAAGCCCAGGCUGGGUUGAAUGAGUGGGUAGGCAGGUGGCCUCGAGCCCUGGGCCUGGAAUCCAAAUCCUAGACCUGCUGUUAUGAGGCACCCGGUGGUCUCCCAGGCCUCCUUUCCCUCCCGGUCCAACCCCUGCCAGGCUUGCCUCGGACGGCACAGUGAGCUGUGAGUAGGGAUUUUUACAGAGAAGACCCGAUGGUUUUAUACUCUAUAAAGCGUGAGGCACACGUAAAGACGGCACAGAUGGGGCAAGGAGGUCAGCUUCCAGGGCCCUGUGUCUCAGCUUUGCUGUGACCCUGAACAGCAGCUUGAGGGGCAUCUCCCAGAAGCUUGGACCUGCACACAGUACUGAGGCUGGCCACCUGUCAAAGGGCAGCUACACAGAGCCACAGGGCUGGGAUGGUCCGGGCUGCUAGCUAGCGACCCUCCAGGUUGGCAGGUGCCGAGUUCUCCACUGACAACGCCCCGAAGGGCCAGAUGGGGCUUUCCGGAGAGUGGGGCAGCUGGGCCCGGGGGCCGCACCCCGGGGGGAACGGCGCGCUGCAUUCCCGGACGCCGUAGCUAGGUGGCGCAGCGAGUUAACACUAGCUGCCCUCCGCCGGCAGCGCCGGGGACCCGGCCGGGGGCGGGGGCGGCGAACCUGCGCGCCGCCCGCGGGAGGCUUCAGGGGCCCGGGUUCCCUCUGCAACACCCACGAGGCCUGAGCAGGAAGGAGGACCCGGCCAGACCUAGGCCGCUCGAACCCAGGGCUGUGCUGCCCGAGGCAGCGGCUCCCGUUGCUGCCGUCGCCGCUGCCAAGCACAUCCCGUGAUGUAAUGUGAGGGCCGAGCUUCCCGUUCUCAUUGAUUAGGAACAGCUUGCGGUGCGGGGGCCGGAUGGAAGGGGGCCGGGGAAUGGGCGAGCGAGGAGGAGCGGGAAGGGGGGAGCUGCCAGGUGCAUGGCUGUGGGGGUAAACCAGCGAGCCCGGGCCCCCCCUGCACGGCGCCGGCGCGCCGCUCGGUCCCUACCUGCCUUCCCCGGAGCGGGGCUGCUCUGGAUGCGGGCGAGUCUGCGGCCGCGUGACCCCAGGACUGUUCCCAACACUCCCACGACGCCCCCACCUUUGGGCAGCACAGACCUGCCCCGG